rnacentral:misc_RNA from 1 species
AAAUAAUAAAUAAAAAAA